ensembl:misc_RNA 7SK 7SK RNA
GGGUGUGACGGCGAUCUGGCUGGUCAGGGAUCUGGCUGGUCAGGCGGGGGUCCCCUUCCUCCCUCAAGACUCCAUGUGCCUCCCUCCCGAAGGUGUGUGCAUGCUCAUUCAGAGAGGACGACCUUCCCUGGUAGAGGUGGACCAUUUUUCCAUCAAAGGUAUAUGAGUAGCUGCGCUCCCCUGCUAAAACUUCCAAAAGAGCUCUCAAGGUCAAUGUGUAGGAGAACAUAGGGUAAUCGAACUGCCAAGACUCCAGACACAUCCAAAUGAGGCACUGCAUGUGGCAGUCUGCCUUUCUGA